AAGUUACUGGUGUAGACAAAAAAGAAUCUACUGGAAGAAAUGGAAAAGAUGCUUCCGAAAGAGAUCCAAGAGAAGAUACUUGUUGAGGGACAAGGAAGGACACAGAAUAGUUCUUCUUUCGACGUCAAUUAUAAAGAAGCAUCGAGAAUAGAAGAUAUUGGAAAAAAAUUUCUAAAUGAAGAUUACAAUAUUAGAGACAAAGUGAACAAUCUACGUGAAAGACUUUUUUUGGUUUUAUAUAUUAUACAUGUAACAAGGCAACCACGAAAUACUCUGGGGCCCAGAGGAAAGUUUUUUGACAAGGCCUCUUGACAUCAUAAUUGCCAGGCAGGAAGUAGUUUAAAUUUUAAUGGUUUAAUGGAAGGUUAGGUUUAACAAAUAAAGUUUGAUACAAAAAUUAUGAACGUAUUAUAAAAUCAAAAAAAUAAUGGUUGCUUUAAGGUCGUCUGUCAAAAUUAAAAGAUCUCAAUAGUUUGUAAUCUCGUGGCUCAUGGCCAAAUGACUCUUAUUAUUAAAGAAAAUUGUAUGGUAGUUUUUCAUCUAAA